UACGAAGGGGGCUAGCGUUGUUCGGAAUCACUGGGCGUAAAGGGCGCGUAGGCGGCUUUAUAAGUCGGGGGUGAAAGCCUGUGGCUCAACCACAGAAUUGCCUUCGAUACUGUAGAGCUUGAGACCGGAAGAGGUAAGUGGAACUGCGAGUGUAGAGGUGAAAUUCGUAGAUAUUCGCAAGAACACCCGUGGCGAAGGCGGCUCUCUGGGACGGUACUGACGCUGAGACGCGAAAGCGUGGGGAGCGAACGAGG
rnacentral:rRNA from 1 species